ACUCAAAGGAAUAGACGGGGGCCCGCACAAGCGGUGGAGCAUGUGGUUUAAUUCGAUGCAACGCGAAAAACCUUACCUACCCUUGACAUGUCAGGAACUUUGCAGAGAGGUGAAGGUGCCUUCGGGAACCUGAACACAGGUGCUGCAUGGCUGUCGUCAGCUCGUGUCGUGAGAUGUUGGGUUAAGUCCCGUAACGAGCGCAACCCCUGUCCUUAGUUACCAGCACGUUAUGGUGGGCACUCUAAGGAGACUGCCGGUGAUAAACCGGAGGAAGGUGGGGAUGACGUCAAGUCAUCAUGGCCUUUAUGGGUAGGGCUACACACGUGCUACAAUGGUCAGUACAGAGGGCAGCAGAGCCGCGAGGUGAAGCUAAUCCCACAACGCUGGUCGUAGUCCGGAUUGGAGUCUGCAACUCGACUCCAUGAAGUUGGAAUCGCUAGUAAUCGCGGAUCAGCAUGCCGCGGUGAAUACGUUCUCGGGCCUUGCACACACCGCCCGU
rnacentral:rRNA from 1 species